UACGGAGGGUGCAAGCGUUAUCCGGAAUCACUGGGUUUAAAGGGUGCGUAGGCGGCUAUGUAAGUCAGUUGUGAAAUACCUCGGCUUAACCGAAGGAAGUGCGAUUGAUACUGCGUAGCUUGAAUCAGGUUGAGGUAGGCGGAAUGUGACAUGUAGCGGUGAAAUGCUUAGAUAUCUGGAGGAACACCGGUGGCGAAGGCGGCAUCCUGGACCGAUAUUGACGCUGAUGCGCGAAAGCCAGGGGAGCAAACGGG
rnacentral:rRNA from 1 species